rnacentral:lncRNA from 1 species
AGGAAUGAAUGUUCAACGAUAAUUCAGAUGAAUUUAACUUCAUUUUGAAAAUAAGUAUCACAAACACUACUUUGCGGAUCGGCCAUUGGCUUAAGAGAAAAUCAAAAGAAAUCUACGCGAGACAGCGUUUCAUUCAUGAAUAUUUCAUGAAUGAACAUUUUCCCGCACUAUUUUUUACUAUGUACGAUAUUUACAACUGUUUAUUAUCGAAUAAGUAAAAGCCCGAGUG